rnacentral:rRNA from 1 species
AUACGGAGGGUGCGAGCGUUAAUCGGAAUUACUGGGCGUAAAGGGUGCGUAGGCGGCUUGAUAAGUCGGAUGUGAAAGCCCCGGGCUUAACCUGGGGAUUGCAUUCGAUACUGUCAGGCUAGAGUAUGUCAGAGGUUGGCGGGAUUCCUGGUGUAGCGGUGAAAUGCGUAGAUAUCAGGAGGAACACCAGUGGCGAAGGCGGCUAACUGGGACAAUACUGACGCUGAGGCACGAAAGCGUGGGGAGCAAACAGGAUUAGAAACCCUAGUAGUCC